rnacentral:rRNA from 1 species
UACGUAGGUGGCAAGCGUUGUCCGGAAUUAUUGGGCGUAAAGCGCGCGCAGGCGGCUUACUAAGUCCAUCUUAAAAGUGCGGGGCUUAACCCCGUGAUGGGAUGGAAACUGGAAAGCUGGAGUAUCGGAGAGGAAAGUGGAAUUCCUAGUGUAGCGGUGAAAUGCGUAGAGAUUAGGAAGAACACCGGUGGCGAAGGCGACUUUCUGGACGAAAACUGACGCUGAGGCGCGAAAGCGUGGGGAGCAAACAGG